AUUGAACGCUGGCGGAAUGCUUUACACAUGCAAGUCGAACGGCAGCACGGGGGCAACCCUGGUGGCGAGUGGCGAACGGGUGAGUAAUACAUCGGAACGUGCCCGGUCGUGGGGGAUAACGUAUCGAAAGUUACGCUAAUACCGCAUACGAUCUGAGGAUGAAAGCGGGGGACCUUCGGGCCUCGCGCGAUCGGAGCGGCCGAUGUCAGAUUAGGUAGUUGGUGGGGUAAAGGCCUACCAAGCCGACGAUCUGUAGCUGGUCUGAGAGGACGACCAGCCACACUGGGACUGAGACACGGCCCAGACUCCUACGGGAGGCAGCAGUGGGGAAUUUUGGACAAUGGGCGCAAGCCUGAUCCAGCCAUUCCGCGUGCAGGACGAAGGCCUUCGGGUUGUAAACUGCUUUUGUAUGGAACGAAAAGGCUCUGGCUAAUACCUGGGGCUCAUGACGGUACCGUAAGAAUAAGCACCGGCUAACUACGUG
rnacentral:rRNA from 1 species